rnacentral:rRNA from 1 species
UACGUAGGGGGCAAGCGUUAUCCGGAUUCACUGGGUGUAAAGGGAGCGUAGACGGAAUGUCAAGCCAGAUGUGAAAAUCCGGGGCUCAACCCCGGACCUGCAUUUGGAACUGAUGUUCUAGAGUACCGGGUGGGCAGGCGGAAUUCCUGGUGUAGCGGUGAAAUGCGUAGAUAUCAGGAGGAACACCGGUGGCGAAGGCGGCCUGCUGGACGGAUACUGACGUUGAGGCUCGAAAGCGUGGGGAGCAAAC